UAAGCAUGGAAAUCCCCUGAGUGAAACAACGAAUUGCUGUGUGUAGUCUUUGCCCGUCUCCUACGAUGGGCUUUUUUUUUA
rnacentral:antisense_RNA from 1 species